rnacentral:misc_RNA from 1 species
UUUUAAGUUAAUUUUUAAUGCCCUCUAACUAAUAAUUCUAGCAAAACAACAAUGUACAGACAUGGUGUCCUGAAAGUCCAAGAUUAUUCAGCACCACUAAUGCGAUUUUUGGCUAAAAGAUGCCUAAGAACAUCAAGCUCUACUUAACAAAAGAUAAUUUACAUAACUUGUUUUUUUUUCUGUGGUUUAUGAGAACCUUACAAAUGAAGCUUCUUGAAAAUGAAUAAAUGAUGACAAAAAGUAUUAAAAUGCUGGAUUUUGAGGUCAUUCCCUGUUUUCUUCAGUAUCUGAAGCAGCAGCAUCCAUGGUAAUAUCACCAUCCAUGGAGACUGUAGAUGACUCUACACUGUCAUCAGCAGCGGAUGACUCUGACUCUGCAUCCUGUUGCUGCAGGCUCCAGUACAUUAUGCUUGCAGUCAAAAUAAGCAUCAUCUUCUGGUUUAUCUCUAUAAUGUCCUCAGGCAAUAAGAAAAUCGAGCAUCCAAGUUUUCGGGCUACACUUAUUAUAUAGGUAGCAUUCAUCUUCUUAUCCUCAUCACUUUCUCCCUUUGUAACAACUGCCCAAUUAACUACCCUUGGCUCCACUGAACUAAGAAGCUCAAGAAAGAAAAUUCCAUUUGAAAGGCUCUUAUCCUUGAAGCUUUCCAUUUGAGAUUUUCUGCCUGCUUUUUUCACUUUGCUAUUCGCCCAGUUUAAAAUGUCAGCAUCUGUAAUUUCUUUACCUUGGGAGUAGGAGGAGUGAGAUCUCAAGUUUUUUAAAAGCUGAAGCAUGGUAAACCUCAUCAGCUGCCACAAAAAUGCUAAUAUGAGCUUCUUAUUUCCCUGGACAAUGUCAUUCCCAGCAACAUUCACUAGAGAGAAAUGCAAUUCUUUCCCUAUCUGUACAACUUGGUUGCAAUUCUCAACUUUUCUAAAUGGCAUCUUUAUAGGAGGUUUAGUUGUCUGCUUCCAAUUUACCGAUCCGGGUGAAACUUUGUCAAGCACUUCUAAAAGAACCCAUCCAUUUCGGACAUCCUCAAAAACGUUAUUAACAUACGUAAAAAUUCCAAGACUAUUAAUCCACAACCGAAAGCAUCUCUCUUCCCGAGAAGUUUCAACAUCAUCCUCCAUCAUCUCAGCAAAGGACAUCUUAUUAGUGUCAACUGUCAAUCCAUUCCUGUGCUGGAAUAUUUGAGCCACAAAUGCAAGAUUAAGAUUUGGGGAUCCCUCAACAAUGUCUUGAGAAGUGAGAUAUCUUUUGCAAUCAAGUUUCUCUGCCACCUCAAGAACCAUGUUUGCUCUCUCUGUAGGAUUACUAGAAUCCUGCGUGGCAGGGGUACUGAGUUCUGGUGCAAGAGCAUUAAGCAGGUAAACAUAGGCCUCUCCAUCCUUCACAUCAGAAGAGAAGUUUGUAACCUGUUUAGUGUAACCAGCUUUCUUCAGAUGAAAAUUCAUCCAUUUCAGCAAAACUUUUUCAGGUGCUAAACCCAUGAGCUCCUCCACCUCCUUACUGUCAUCCACCAAUUCCAGAAGUUGGGGAGUUUUCUUUAAAUUGAGAUCUGCUAACAGUUGAAUCUUAAUAAUUUGGGAAAUCAAUCCAAGUACCAGAUGG